rnacentral:rRNA from 1 species
UUGCUCUUCAACGAGGAAUGCCUAGUAAGCGCAUGUCAUCAGCAUGCGUUGAUUACGUCCCUGCCCUUUGUACACACCGCCCGUCGCUACUACCGAUUGAAUGGCUCAGUGAGGCCUUCGGACUGGCCCCAGGAGGUCGGCAACGACCACCCNAGGGCCGGAAAGUUGGUCAAACUUGGUCAUUUAGAGGAAGUAAAAGUCGUAACAAGGUUCCCGUAGGUGAACCUGCGGAAGGAUCAUUACCGAGUAUUGGGUCUUAGUGCCCGCACUCCAACCCUUUGUGUACCUAAAAUUGUUGCUUUGGCGGGCCCGCGGUGUAAUGCCGCUGCUGGCUCACGCUGGUUAGUGCCCGCCAGAGAACCGUUAAACUCUUGUUUAUUCAGUGUCGUCUGAGCAAAAUUUAAUAAUCAAAACUUUCAACAACGGAUCUCUUGGUUCUGGCAUCGAUGAAGAACGCAGCGAAAUGCGAUAAGUAAUGUGAAUUGCAGAAUUCAGUGAAUCAUCGAAUCUUUGAACGCACAUUGCGCCCCCUGGUAUUCCAUGGGGCAUGCCUGUUCGAGCGUCAUUUGUACCUUCAAGCUCUGCUUGGUGUUGGGUGUUUGUCUCGCCUCUGCGUGUAGACUCGCCUUAAAACAAUUGGCAGCCGGCGUAUUGAUUUCGGAGCGCAGUACAUCUCGCGCUUUGCACUCAUAACGACGACGUCCAAAAGUACAUUUUUACACUCUUGACCUCGGAUCAGGUAGGGAUACCCGCUGAACUUAAGCAUAUCAAUAAGCGGAGGA